rnacentral:rRNA from 2 species
AAAUUGAAGAGUUUGAUCAUGGCUCAGAUUGAACGCUGGCGGCAGGCCUAACACAUGCAAGUCGAACGGUAGCACAGAGAGCUUGCUCUCGGGUGACGAGUGGCGGACGGGUGAGUAAUGUCUGGGAAACUGCCUGAUGGAGGGGGAUAACUACUGGAAACGGUGGCUAAUACCGCAUAACGUCGAAAGACCAAAGAGGGGGACCUUCGGGCCUCUUGCCAUCAGAUGUGCCCAGAUGGGAUUAGCUUGUUGGUGAGGUAACGGCUCACCAAGGCGACGAUCCCUAGCUGGUCUGAGAGGAUGACCAGCCACACUGGAACUGAGACACGGUCCAGACUCCUACGGGAGGCAGCAGUGGGGAAUAUUGCACAAUGGGCGCAAGCCUGAUGCAGCCAUGCCGCGUGUAUGAAGAAGGCCUUCGGGUUGUAAAGUACUUUCAGCGGGGAGGAAGGUGUUGUGGUUAAUAACCGCAGCAAUUGACGUUACCCGCAGAAGAAGCACCGGCUA